CAUAGUUAUGAAAAUAGAAGCUAUUUUUAUUUGGAAUUAGCUGUUUAGCAAGUCUUUUUUUUUUUUUUGAAACAAGCUGUUUAGCAAGUCUAUCCGCAACUUUGUUGCCCUUUCUUCCAAUCCAAGUAAACUGGAUGCCUUAAAAUUUUUUGACCCACCAUCGAACUUCUCGAACCCAAUUAGACGUAUCAAAGUAGAGCUUCUGGUUGUUACGUAUGUUACUAAUUAGUUCCAUUAUUUCUCUAUAUUUUACUCUUUCUAAUUUGUUCCAUAUAAUUUACCUUCAUUCUUUAAUAUUUUUUAAUUAGCACUAGUGAGAACAUUAGUUUAUAUUGAUAUGGAUUGCUUAGAUCACCUUUAAAGGAUUCUGAGCGUGAACUCAUUUGGAGAAUUACUAAGGGUUUCAAGACCAUCUUCAAUUAUAGUUGCAAAAAUAGAGAAAGAGAAAUACCACUUAGUACGAUCACACUUGACUUAGUUGACUAGAACCUGAAAGCAUAUAUCCCCUCUGUUCUCUCCAGUAUUCUUAGGACUUAUUAGAACUAUGCUGGCUUUGAAACUCCUAAGUCCUAACUCCCACCAUCAUUUAGGCUUACAGCUCAUUGUAGCCACAGAUCAAACUUAGUGUUAGAUACUUCUUCCUUGCAAGGUCGACCUUUAAAUACUACAGUAGCAUCACCUACAACACUCUUAAAAUUAUAACACUUAAUACUCUAUUUAUGGCUUCUAUCAUUACAAAGUAAAGUCAGUGUUGUACUUGUAUAUGUAAGAUAUCGAAAAAGGUUUCAGAUUAGUUAAAAACGUUUUUACUAAACUAAAAUUUAUAACGUGUAAGAAAGUGAUAAUGACAACUAAAGUAAGAAGGUGGUGGUGUGAGAAUCAGAUUCGAUGUCAACUAACUGAAAGGAAACGAGCAGCUUUUUCUUUAUUUUUUUGAAAGAGGUUUUGGAGCAGGCAGCUUUCCCCUUCACGAUUAUAUAUAUUUUUGUUUGUGUAGAAAGGUUACCCAUUUGCCAUACAUUCACCAAGCAUGUAAAGAUGGGAUCUUGUCAUUAAAAUAUACUUAUGGUUAAGAUGAUAUAAAAGUAAAUUAUUUAUUCCAUUGUAAUUAGGCGGAAAAUGUAUACUCUAUAAUUUACUUUUUCGAAAGAUGAAAUCAAACGCAUAAGUUUCGAGAUCCUGUAGAAACUGCAACGUUAUUGCAUUAGUGAAUAGCAUGUGCUAUAUGGUUGUAACUGCAUAUUUUGGUGAUGCAACGUGGCAGCUCAAGAAACUAAUUAUCAUAUCCAAAUAUGUUAUGGAUCACAAAGAUCAGGCCAAUUCCAUUGCUUUAAACUGUUAAGAUAAAUGCGAUUUUAGAAAAGAAAAAUUUGGAAAAAUGCCAUCAAAUGAGAUUAUAUUUUGAAAACUACAACAUAUUUUUGAUUUUUUGAAAACUAUACUUAUUUAUAAGUGAUGUGACAAAAUUAACCCUAAUUAAGAGUAGGAAAAUUUGGACUCAUGUCCAUUAUAUAUGAAAAAUUAAGUAUCUAUACAUAUCAACUCAGAUGCUAUGCUAUAAUAUAUAAUGUUAUGAAAUGUGACAAAAUUAGCCUCACCUGCGCGUAGGAAGGCAAAAAAUGUGUCUUUUUUUUUUCGCAGCCAAACAAAAAAUCAGUUUCACUUACAACCCUCUCGCAUGCGAAGAGCAAGAUCGUCUCCACUAUUGCGAAUCACAGUUGAAAAAGGGAAACGUCGGCGAGUUAACAUGGGUGACAGCGGCCGAAGUUGGAUAAUCAAAAGUAAGAUUACGGUGGACUAUUCACGGUAACGGCGGCGCGAUCUCAUAUCCAAAAAGGAAUGAAUCAAGGUAAAUAAUGUUUGAUUUAUAAGGUAUUUAGUGCAAUUCAAACCUGUUUUACAACAAUUAAUCGGAACCAGUUUCGUUUGCAUAUCUGAUUGGAAGGGGUAACUGCCAAAGUUACAAAAGAAGGUAUUGUUAUUCAAUUAUUUUUGUUUUAAAUUUUAUUUAAGAUUUUAAUCUUUGGUUCAUGUAAAACGAGCCUCGUCGAAGUAAGUUUAUGACCAUACAUCUUCUUUGUGAACACAAGUUUCUGGGUUCGUGGAUUGGGGGAGAACUUGAUGGAUGAUGGGAAACAUGAGACUAUACUGUGUGAUGCAUUUUCUGGGCCCGUGCGGGAGGAGGGGGAGAUAAACUGAUGUAUGAUGCAACCGAGGUGUCUAUACUAUAUAAUAAAUGUAAAUAGUAUAGGAAAAGAGGAGAAACUGGUUAACAUACAUGAGGGUUACCUCUUGUGGCAAUGCUUAUGCAACAGAGAGCCUAAAUCAGUACGCCUCACUCACAAAUGAGUCACUUGCAGUUGCAGCCAUAUCGACGUUCACCCCGGCCAACUCCCAUAGUGACAUGUAGGAUGAAACCCUGAUGUUGUUCUUUAUCUACUCAUAUACUACUUAUAUUGACUUGUUGGAUGGAACCCCUAUGUUUUCUGUGUACUUUUACAAUAUUUACUUGCACGCCGUAUCUAAUUUCAGGUUUCUUAUGUAUUCUAUGCAACACAUAUGUACUAUUGUAUUGUCAUCUAUAUAGCAAUUAUUACAACACA